GACGAACGCUGGCGGCGUGCUUAACACAUGCAAGUCGAACGAUAAGGCCCUUCGGGGUACACGAGUGGCGAACGGGUGAGUAACACGUGGGUGAUCUGCCCUGCACUUCGUGAUAAGCCUGGGAAACUGGGUCUAAUACCGGAUAGGACCCUGGGAUGCAUGUCCUGGGGUGGAAAGCUUUUGCGGUGUGGGAUGGGCCCGCGGCCUAUCAGCUUGUUGGUGGGGUGAUGGCCUACCAAGGCGACGACGGGUAGCCGGCCUGAGAGGGUGACCGGCCACACUGGGACUGAGAUACGGCCCAGACUCCUACGGGAGGCAGCAGUGGGGAAUAUUGCACAAUGGGCGCAAGCCUGAUGCAGCGACGCCGCGUGAGGGAUGACGGCCUUCGGGUUGUAAACCUCUUUCAGCACAGACGAAGCGCAAGUGACGGUAGGUGCAGAAGAAGGACCGGCCAACUACGCGCCAGCCGCCGCCGUAA
rnacentral:rRNA from 1 species